ACUUUAUAAACCAUAGCUUUGUUAUUAAAUAAGCUACCUGAUUACAACAGUCUUAGAAAAUAAAAAUGAAAUUUUCAUUUAUAGUAUGAAACCUGUUACAUCAAUUCAUUAAAUAUGAUGUUCGACUCAACUUUUCCGUUGUUUAAAUAGUGCUAAAAUAAUAGUAUAGCCCAACCAGGGAAAUCGUAAAUAUUUAAGAUUACAAUGUCAGUGGAAAACAUUUUUCGCAUGAAUUAAAAGAAAAGCAUUCAUUUGAAAAUAUUCCCAAGUAAGAAGCCAAAAUAAUUCCAUUAGAAUUUUAAAAGGCCAGAAAGAGCAACCCAAAAAUCCAGUGUGAAAGAAAACAAUACCUAUAUAAACGUUAAGCAAAGCCAGGAAUGUAGAUUACUUUGAAACAUCUACUUAUUUCCAUUUUAAUGAAGAAUUAAAGGAUACAAUGUGUUAAAGACAUAUUUAAAAUACUAGCAAG
rnacentral:lncRNA from 1 species